GAUGAACGCUAGCGGGGGGCCUAACACAUGCAAGUCGAACGCAUUUAGUUGCGUGGCAAACGGGUGCGUAACACGUGCUUAAUCUGCCCUGGAGUGGGGGAUAACUGUUGAAAGGCAGAUAAUCCCGCAUACGCUCUGCAAAAUGAAAAUAUGCAGAGGAAAGAUUUAUCGCUCUAGGAGGAGGGUGCGGACUACUAGUUAGUUGGUGAGGUAAUAGCUCACCAAGACGAUGAUGGUUAGCUGGUCUGAGAGGAUGAUCAGCCACAAUGGAACUGAGACACGGUCCAUACCCCUACGGGGGGCAGCAGUGGGGAAUAUUGCACAAUGGAGGAAACUCUGAUGCAGCCACCCCGCGUGGAGGAUGAAGCAUUACGGUGUGUAAACUCCUUUUCUGGAGGAAGACAACUGACGGUACUCCAGGAAUAAGCGACGGCUAACUACG
rnacentral:rRNA from 1 species